rfam:Ilheus virus strain BrMS-MQ10, complete genome
AGAAAUUCACCUGUGUGAAAUUUCACUAACCGUUUUAGUGGAGAGAACUUUUGUUUAACACAGUCUGAAUAG